rnacentral:rRNA from 1 species
UCAGUAACGGCGAGUGAAGCGGCAACAGCUCAAAUUUGAAAUCUGGCUCUUUUAGGGUCCGAGUUGUAAUUUGUAGAGGAUGCUUCGGCGUCGGCUCCGGUCUAAGUUCCUUGGAACAGGACGUCAUAGAGGGUGAGAAUCCCGUAUGUGAUCGGUUGCCCUUGUCAUGUGAAGCUCCUUCGACGAGUCGAGUUGUUUGGGAAUGCAGCUCUAAAUGGGAGGUAAAUUUCUUCUAAAGCUAAAUACUGGCCAGAGACCGAUAGCGCACAAGUAGAGUGAUCGAAAGAUGAAAAGCACUUUGGAAAGAGAGUCAAAAAGUACGUGAAAUUGUUGAAAGGGAAGCGCUUGCAACCAGACCUGCCUGCAGUUGCUCAUCCGGGCUUUUGCCCGGUGCACUCUUCUGCUGUCAGGCCAGCAUCAGUCCGGGCGGUCGGAUAAAGGCUUCGGGAAUGUAGCUCCUCUCGAGGAGUGUUAUAGCCCGUUGCGAAAUGCGGCCAGCCUGAACUGAGGUCCGCGCUUCGGCUAGGAUGCUGGCGUAAUGGUUGUAAGCGGCCCGUCUUGAAACACGGACCAAGGAGUCUAACAUCUGUGCGAGUGUUUGGGUGUCAAACCCGUACGCGUAAUGAAAGUGAACGGAGGCGGGAACCCCUCGGGGUGCACCGUCGACCGAUCCUGAUGUCUUCGGAUGGAUUUGAGUAAGAGCAUAGCUGUUGGGACCCGAAAGAUGGUGAACUAUGCCUGAAUAGGGUGAAGCCAGAGGAAACUCUGGUGGAGGCUCGCAGCGGUUCUGACGUGCAAAUCGAUCGUCAAAUUUGGGCAUAGGGGCG